GCACCUAGAAGAACCAGAGGGAGCAGGACCUCCUUCAACCUCCUGACUUGGCAGCUUAGGCCCCGGGGUUUCCUGUGGUAUGGGGCUCCACAUCCAAAGCCCAUUAAGGGCAGACGCUUUUAUCAUCUGUCUGCGUCUUACCUCUACCCCCCUUCCAAAAGUGAUUACAAAAACACCUCCCUCAAUCACUCCUGCUUCCUGGCUUUCUACCUGAUGGUCUUCAACUUUUAAGAGCUGGAAACCCCAGGCUGCUGGCCACUUCUGUCCAUUUCCAGCAGUCUGGAUCCCUAAAGCAUCUGCCCUGAGCUGGGGCAGGGCUCACCUUUCCACCUACCACGUGGACUGCCUCACACCAUUCCUGGCAUGGCCUCGGGAAGAUUGCAGGCUCCUCCUCUCCCUUCCCCACUAGGACCCACUGGGCAGCUGGCGGGCAGAACACAAGCUCCUGUGGCUCCCCUCCGAGGGCCCUGCUGCAGUAAGGAGACUGCUGCCCGCUCACCUGGUGCGCCGUGGCCCCAUCCCCUGAGGACCGGAAGAGGACGAGGCAGCUGAGUGAAUCAGGGCGGGACAGGUGGGCUGGCCUCCCCUCUCCUUGACCCUCCUCCGGGCCCUGUCCUGGCACCAGGACUGAGUGCUCAGCGCUGGCAUCUCUCCCUCAGGUGGGUGAGCCCAGCACCACAGGUUCCAGUAUCCGCUCCAAGGGGCUUUGGCUUUGCACCCCCCCAGACUCCUCCACCACCAACACCUGUGAGGCCUGGUGUCACUGGGAUCUCCAACUUCUGACCUGGCUCCACCCCGACAGGCUGUUCUUUCCCCGAAGGCCUAAGUCAGACAUUCCCGCUGCCCCUGCCCCUUCCUCCUUGCGCCACAUCUGGCCCUCAGAAAGCCUCCCUGACUUCGGCUCACAAAUCUACUGGGAUCCAUCUACCCGGCAGCAGCACCCCACCCCUCCCUCGGUCCCAACUCAGACCCUCCUCACAGGCAGCUGCCCGGGCAUCCCUGCGGUGCCCCCACCUGCCCUCAAGAUUCCAGCAUCUUCAUCGCACCCUGCUCCCUCCUCCAUGUGCUGCAGUCUCCCUGGCCCAGCGUCUCUGUUCCUCCAACGCCGGACGCCUAGACCCGGGGCCUUUGUGCGUCUCCCUGCCUCUCAGCCUCCACUUCACUGACGCCCGGAUCGUAGAACUUAAGCACGUUCACGCGGUCUCUUUCCACAGAUCCCAGCAGCGUGUAAGCUCCCUGGGGGCACCUGCCUUCCCGACACAGCACAGAGCACCUAGGAGUGUGUGAGAAACCCACGCUGAGGGGGGUCUCCAAGCACCACUUCCUGGCCCGGCCAGUACGCUGGACUCUGGGAACUGGUGAGAAAUGGAUGCUGACUGUGCCUUUUCUCCUGGCUCCUUGGACCCCAGAUGGUGUCUGGCGCACAAGGCCACCCUGUCCAUAUGUAAGGAAGAGGGGCACCUGGGCUCUGAGGAAUCUGACCCAGGACUGGCCCUGGGCUGCUGCAUCUGGUCCUCACGACAGCCUACCAGACAGGUCUCUGUAUCCCCAUUUUGCAGAUGGGAAAGCUGAGGCAAAGGGCAGAACUAAGCUUGAAAUAAGUAACUUGAGACCAGAGCUGCCUCUCACAGCACCGUAGGGAGGAGGCCACGCUGCCCCUAGAUCAGCACGCCCACCUGUGAACUUCCAGAGCCACUCCAGACCAAUCCGGACUUUCCUCAAGGGCUUCUGCGCCGAGUGCAGGGUGAUGGGGCGGGUGCAGGCCUGCUGGAUGUACACCUCCAGGUGGUCUUGCAGGUUUUGGCCCACCCCUGGAAUGGGAGCGAGGGGCUAGGGAGAAUGGCUUCUCAGGGUGGCUUACCUGCCACCAGCCUCUCAACAUCCCCUGGUUUUGAGAAGUCCCCUCACCCCCAUCCAUUUAUCUGCCAAGCCAGCUCCUGCUCCUUCCCUGGGUCUCAGCUUAAAAGGUCAUCUCCAGGGACCCCAUCCCUAUGCUCAAAGCCAAUCUCAGCUUUUUGGGCGGCCAAAGCCACCUGCCCUUGUCACUCACUCCCAGGGCAGCCUCUGGAACCGUCCCGAUGCCAUCCUGCCAGGGAGCUCCCUCCCCAAGGGCAGGCCUGGGCAUUCAGCAGGCGCCACCUGUACCCCUGGCCGGGGGAAGGAGGGGAUCCAGCCUUGCCGAGCUGGGCAGACACUGUGUGAGCUCAUCUGAGCACGAGCGGACGCAGGGCAGGCCACUAUCCCAGAAUUCUGACGGACCUCUCACUAGGAACCCUCUGCGCAAAAAAGGUCAUUUCUGGGGAGGUUGGGUUCUAAGAGAGGUGAGAGGCCCUAAUGGGUAUCAAAGACUGUAAGUGCAAUUUUAGGCCCAUGAUAAUUGUCUCAGCAUGAAAAGCAUGCCCCAGAGCACCCAGCCAGCAUUUUUAACAUGAGGGCUGCUGGACUUAAAACUAAGACCCAGACCCCUAUCACCGCAGGGCUGCCCUGGGGACAGAGCCGCCUGGCCCAGCGGGCUUUUUAGGCCAUGCUCCCCGGUGGAGGGGCAGAACCUCCCAGGGGCACAGGAGGGCCAAGGAAGGGGGGGAAAAAAAACGACAGAAAGACUUGGGGUCUUUGGGGGGGUAGGGGUGUCCACUGAGGCUCAUGGGAAGAACUGAUGCCCCCACCCCAUUCCACGCUAACGAACUCCACUAAGCCCUUUUUUCUUAGUAGGGGCCCCUCUGAGGAGCGGGGAGAAGGGAACCCACCGGGCAGGUGGCACACCACCGGGAUGCCCAGCUUGCGGAGGUCAUCCGCGUUGCCGACGCCCGAGAGCAUGAGCAGCUGUGGAGAGUUGAUGGCACCCCCGCUCAGAAUCACCUCCGCGCCGGCGUAAACCUGGAAGAUGCACAGAGAGAGACACAGCAAGAGAAGGAACAAAAGCAG